UACGAAGGGGGCUAGCGUUGCUCGGAAUCACUGGGCGUAAAGGGUGCGUAGGCGGGUCUUUAAGUCAGGGGUGAAAUCCUGGAGCUCAACUCCAGAACUGCCUUUGAUACUGAGGAUCUUGAGUGCGGGAGAGGUGUGUGGAACUCCGAGUGUAGAGGUGAAAUUCGUAGAUAUUCGGAAGAACACCAGUGGCGAAGGCGACACACUGGCCCGUAACUGACGCUGAGGCGCGAAAGCGUGGGGAGCAAACAGG
rnacentral:rRNA from 1 species